UCCACAUCGACGGGGAGGUUUGGCACCUCGAUGUCGGCUCAUCACAUCCUGGGGCUGUAGUAGGUCCCAAGGGUUGGGCUGUUCGCCCAUUAAAGUGGUACGCGAGCUGGGUUCAGAACGUCGUGAGCCAGUUCGGUCCCUAUCCGUCGCAGGCGUAGGAAAUUUGAGAAGACCUGUCCUUAGUACGAGAGGACCGGGAUGGACGUACCUCUGGUGUACCAGUUGUCCUGCCAAGGGCAUGGCUGGGUAGCUAUGUACGGAAUGGAUAAGCGCUGAAAGCAUCUAAGCGCGAAG
rnacentral:rRNA from 1 species